rnacentral:lncRNA from 1 species
CAAAUUCUCCAAAUUUGUCUCAAAAUUGUAAUAAAAAUGAUAGAUAGAGAGAAGGAAGAACUUAUCAGUUGAGGCGUGAUUUCACUGUCCCUAAGAAUAGAUCGCGCCCCUCGGAGAAUGAAUCUCGGUGUAGCAGGUAAUGGCGGCCUAUCCUCCAGGAUACAACAACUGGAUCACUCCAAGCGCACACUCGCAGAUGCAGUAAUCUUGUCGAACAGCCCAGAAGCGCUCAGAACAGAGGAGAGUAUCCUCUCGGAAACAGAACAGAGGAGAGUAUCCUCUCGGAAACAGAACAGAGGAGAGAACAGAACAGAGGACAGAAAACAGAGAGAGA